UAUAGGACUAUUUAUCGUUUAUCCGAUAUGGAAAAUUAUUAAAAUCUUUAUAAAAGAAAAACGUUUGAAAAUAGAAUUGUAUGUAAAAUAGAUGGGAAAAAUUAUCAUAGAAAUUUUCCCGUCCAUUUAUGAAUAAAAUUGCUUAAUUAAUUAUAAAAAUGAUUAUUCUCCGAGGCUCGUAGAAUCGUCUGUUAAAACAGCCAUAAAUCCAGUCAUUUCCCAAGAUUCCCAGCUUCGGUGUGUCCAUAGUUGAAGAAAUUCCUCGUCAGCGUUCUCCAGGGGCGUAAGCCGGGCAAUUUGAAACGAGGUAAAACGCGCUGGUAAAAUUAAACGAAUCUUCGGGCUCGUUUUGCACGCUUGGAUACUUUUAAAACUUUGUUCGUCUGGUAGCUUCUUCUUCGCUUACACGGUUAUAAAAGUUACAGCUUCGUCGUAACAGCUGGUUCACGGUGAAACGGAAGCGGUCCUGUACGGGCAAGGAUAUCCGACGAUUUUCGCACGGAACAAGGACGAAACGAGCGCAAGAUUCCGGGAAUAUGUAAUUAACGAACGACGCCGUUGGGAGAAGCCAGCAGCACGGUUUUCAGGAAUGAACGCGUGACAGAGAUCGAAAAUUUUGUAAUUUAUUGGAAAGUUCGUCCAAAAAAUAAAUUCCGAAGGAUACAAAACAAAGGGAAAGGAGAAGUAAACACGAAUCUGUUGAACGAAUAAUAAGGCUGCUACCAACAACAUCCAAUGAUUUACAAGUAAUCGAGACUGGUGGAAAUUGUUACCACCACAAUUAUACAGUUAUAAAUAUUGAAGCAGACUUCAUCGCGACGUUUCCAGGAGGAUAUUAAAGACGAGGAAAACUUUCCGUGUAGUAAUUAUACGAAUCCGUUUGUCUGAUCCUGAGAACCAAACAGAUGCUACUCGUCGCUGAUUUGCAAAACGAGACGUGAAAAUCCCAAGUUCUAAGGUCCAGAACCUAGGACCUUUGAACUUUCAUGAAAUUUUACGAGAUGUCCUACUACUUUUGAUCGAGAAUGUACAUGUGUAAUGGAAUAUUGAGAGAGGGAAUUUCGAAGAAGAAAAUCCGAUUGAAAAAAAAUUCAUCGAACGGUGUAACGUUUCUCGUCGACUAAUCGGAUGAUUCCCCUCGAUUUUCCAGAAACUCGAUCGUGCCACGUGGUUCAGGCGUUAGCUGGAUAAUACGAAAAUUAAUUUUCUCUCGUCGGAAACCUUUCAUCCCGUACACGGCUAACGAGAAUCGCCACACUGGAUGGAAUAAACGGUAGGGUCAAUAACGUCGAUAAAACGCGAAACAUAAUCCCCGUUUCCGUGUGUCGUGUACACCAAGAUGAAUUUCAUUAACUCUUUCACCUAUUAAGAAUCGAUUAUCUAUUGAACAGUGGAUAGAUUAUUUAAUUUUCCAGGAUUAAUUUUAGGAUAAAAAUUGAUUUCCUAAAAUUUUACACAUCUCUUUGUCUAGCACUGCU